UGGGGAAUAUUGCGCAAUGGGCGAAAGCCUGACGCAGCAACGCCGCGUGUGUGAAGAAGGCCCUCGGGUCGUAAAGCACUGUUGAGUAGAACGAGCCGGUGUCAGUUAAUACCUGGCACUCCGACGGUACUACUUUAGAAAGCACCGGCUAACUCCGUGCCAGCAGCCGCGGUAAUACGGAGGGUGCAAGCGUUGUUCGGAAUUAUUGGGCGUAAAGCGCGCGCAGGCGGGCUGUUAAGUCUGAUGUGAAAUCCCUCGGCUCAACCGAGGACGUGCAUUGGAUACUGGCAGUCUUGAAUCCCGGAGAGGGUGGCGGAAUUCCCAGUGUAGAGGUGAAAUUCGUAGAUAUUGGGAGGAACACCAGUGGCGAAGGCGGCCACCUGGACGGUGAUUGACGCUGAGGCGCGAAAGCGUGGGUAGCAAACAGG
rnacentral:rRNA from 1 species